rnacentral:rRNA from 1 species
UACGUAGGGGCCUAGCGUUGUCCGGAUUUAUUGGGCGUAAAGAGCUCGUAGGCGGUUUGGUGAGUCGGGUGUGAAAUCUCCACGCUCAACGUGGAGGGGCCACCCGAUACUGCCAUGACUAGAGUCCGGUAGGGGAGUGUGGAAUUCCCGGUGUAGCGGUGAAAUGCGCAGAUAUCAGGAGGAACACCCGUGGCGAAAGCGGCUCUCUGGGACGGUACUGACGCUGAGACGCGAAAGCGUGGGGAGCAAACAGG